UUCGUUAAUGUUCACUUGCCUCGGUUAAAGAUAAACUCCCGAUUCUGAGCGUUUAAGCAAUUUAACCGAGGUUUACGACCAUAGCGCCGCUGGAAUUGUUUUGAAAAUUUCGCAUUUAAUAUAACAUAUUCUGUUUUGAGGUUAUGUAUUAUCGUAUUGAAUUGAGGAAAGAAGUAUUGCAUCUUAUAUAUCGGAAAGUAUUCUCAAGAUUCAUUGAAAUUUCACAAUCAGUUUAUAUAUAAUAUGGCUUUUGCACAAAUAUUAUCGUCAUUAGAUGAUGAAGGUUUUGCUGAUGUUAUUAAUCGAAGACCACGCAAUAUUAGAAGACGACCUGAUUAUUUUAAUGAAUUGGACAAUGUAGAUUUUCAUGCUCGAUUCCGAUUAUCAAAAGAAUGCGUUACUGAAGUGUUGGAAGCUAUUGAACCCGAAAUUUCACAUCCGACACAACAAUAAAUAACUUCGUAGUAUUAUAACUAAUUCUCCUCCUGACGUUAAGAUUUUACGCUACUGGCAGCCACUUAAUAUCGGCAGGUGAUUUUUCUGGAGUUAGCAAAACGAGUGCUCACAAAAUUGUCCAUUGCGUAACGAAUUCUAUAACUCGUCUUCGGCCAAGGUGGAAAUGAUGCAGAAUACUUCAGAAAUCGAAAAGGUUACUUUUCGAUUAAUGUCCAAGCAAUUUGUAAUGCUAAUUUGGAAAUAACGAACCUUGUAGCUCGUUGGCAAGGAUCUGUGCAUGACUCUAUUUAAGACUGGAAUAUUUGGAGAUGCCUUGCUCUUAGGUGAUGGAGCUUAUCCAGUUCAGUCUUAUUUAAUAACACCUCUAUGCAAUACAGAAACUCGUGCUCAGGAACUCUAUUAUGAGUCGCUUAUUAGAACACGCAAUAUCAUUGAGCGCGUGUUUGGUAUAUGGAAAAGACGAUUUCCAAUUUUAGCAUUGGGUUCUCGAUUUUCUAAAGUCCAAAGAGUAUUGCCAGUUAUUGUGGCAACUGCCAUAUUACAUAACAUUGCCCGGCGUGCUGGCGAUCCGAUACCACCAGAUGAUCCGCUACAGUUGCCUGUACCAUGGGCAGAAAUUUUAGAAAAGGGAAAUAUACCACUUAUGAAUGAUACAUCUGGUAAUAAUCAUAUGCAGAACAUACUAAUCAAUGAUUAUUUUCGCAGCUUGCUGUAGAAUAAUCUUUACUGUGAAAAAAGUUGAAGAAUAUUAUGUAUAUAGCAGUGCAUGUUUAUAUAGAAUUUGUCUAAAAAGGAG
rnacentral:lncRNA from 1 species